rnacentral:rRNA from 1 species
AUGUAAAUUCCUACAUCAUAGCAUUAAUGCACCAGAUCCCAUUAGAACUCUGCAUUUAAGCAUGCUCAAGAUAAAGUAGUAUUGGGAUGGGUAACCACCCGAGAAGUCCUAGCAUUUUACAUG